rnacentral:misc_RNA from 1 species
AUGAAUUGUAAAUGGGGGCUGAUGCUGGCAGUUGAUUCUUCAGCUGUAUUGUGCACGCUUCUAACAAUCUUUAUCCAAACACUUGUGCACCUUUGAAAGAAGGGGGGAAACCUUCCCCCUUCUUAUUUACAUACACCGCUUCUAUAAUGUCGAAUGUGAUCUUGUGCCUUUUCCUUCAAGGAGGGCCUGACUUAAUGUUAAUA